UGGGGAAUAUUGGACAAUGGGCGCAAGCCUGAUCCAGCCAUGCCGCGUGAGUGAUGAAGGCCCUAGGGUUGUAAAGCUCUUUCACCGGUGAAGAUAAUGACGGUAACCGGAGAAGAAGCCCCGGCUAACUUCGUGCCAGCAGCCGCGGUAAUACGAAGGGGGCUAGCGUUGUUCGGAAUUACUGGGCGUAAAGCGCACGUAGGCGGAUCGAUCAGUUAGGGGUGAAAUCCCGGGGCUCAACCCCGGAACUGCCUCUAAUACUGUCGAUCUGGAGUUCGAGAGAGGUGAGUGGAAUUCCGAGUGUAGAGGUGAAAUUCGUAGAUAUUAGGAAGAACACCAGUGGCGAAGGCGCCUUACUGGCUCGGUACUGACGCUGAGGUACGAAAGCGUGGGGAGCAAACA
rnacentral:rRNA from 1 species